UACGUAGGUGGCGAGCGUUUGUCCGGAUUUACUGGGCGUAAAGAGCGCGCAGGCGGUCGUUCAAGUCGCGUGUGAAAGCCCCCGGCUCAACUGGGGAGGGUCACGCGAUACUGAUCGACUCGAAGGCAGGAGAGGGAAGUGGAAUUCCCGGUGUAGUGGUGAAAUGCGUAGAUAUCGGGAGGAACACCAGUGGCGAAGGCGACUUCCUGGCCUGUUCUUGACGCUGAGGCGCGAAAGCUAGGGGAGCAAACGGGG
rnacentral:rRNA from 1 species